rnacentral:rRNA from 1 species
AUUGAACGCUGGCGGCAGGCUUAACACAUGCAAGUCGAGCGGAGAGAGGUAGCUUGCUACUGAUCUUAGCGGCGGACGGGUGAGUAAUGCUUAGGAAUCUGCCUAUUAGUGGGGGACAACAUUUCGAAAGGAAUGCUAAUACAGCAUACGUCCUACGGGAGAAAGCAGGGGAUCUUCGGACCUUGCGCUAAUAGAUGAGCCUAAGUCGGAUUAGCUAGUUGGUGGGGUAAAGGCCUACCAAGGCGACGAUCUGUAGCGGGUCUGAGAGGAUGAUCCGCCACACUGGGACUGAGACACGGCCCAGACACCUACGGGAGGCAGCAGUGGGGAAUAUUGGACAAUGGGCGCAAGCCUGAUCCAGCCAUGCCGCGUGUGUGAAAAAGGCCUUAUGGUUGUAAAGCACUUUAAGCGAGGAGGAGGCUACUUUAGUUAAUACCUAGAGAUAGUGGACGUUACUCGCAGAAUAAGCACCGGCUAACUCUGUGCCAGCCGCCGCCGUAAUAC